CAUGUCUUUUUGAUUUUAAUUUAAAGUUUAACCUGCUCAAUGAUUAAUAAAUAGCUGCAGUAUAUUAACUGUACAAAGGUAGCAUAAUAAUUAGUUUCUUAAUUAGGAACUGGAAUGAAUGGUUGGACAAGAAAAUUACUGUCUCUUUUUUAAUAUUUUUGAAUUUUAUUUUUAAGUGAAAAAGCUUAAAUUUAUAUAAAAGACGAGAAGACCCUAUAGAGUUUAAUAUUAUUUUUAUCAAUAAAUAAUUAGUAAGUUAAUUUAAUAAAUAAUAUUUAAUUGGGGUGAUUGAAAGAAAAAUAUAAUUCUUUUAUUUUUAAAUUGAUAAUUUUCAAUUUUAUAAUCUAAAAUUUUUAAAAUUAAAAUAAAUUACCUUAGGGAUAACAGCGUAAUUUUUCUUAAAAGUUCUUAUUAAAAGAAAAGUUUGCGACCUCGAUGUUGGAUUAAAAUUAAUUUUUGGUGCAAUAAUUUAAAAAUUAGGUCUGUUCGACCUUUAAAAUUUUACAUGAUCUGAGUUUAAACCGGUGUGAGCCAGGUUGGAUUCUAUCUUUAGAAAUUUAUUAUAUUUUAGUACGAAAGGACCAAAUAUAAAUUAAAUUAAUUG
rnacentral:rRNA from 1 species